rnacentral:lncRNA from 1 species
AUCUGCUCCCACCCGCUCCGGAGCCAAACCCCGGGGGCCGCCUCCGCUCCCGGACCCGCCUCCUCUCCCGGGAGUGUGAGCCGAACCAAGAGUCUCCUGCCUAUCUCCUCCAGUAGGAAAAUAGUAAUAAUAAUAGACACCCUGCCCCCGUAAAAAACACUACCUUCCCCGUACCGCCUCCCAAGUCUCCCGGGGUACGGAUUGCCUUUGCAGCAGUUCCGCCCCACCUGACUCACUCCAGGGUCAGCCCCGGGUGGGUUUCAAUGCGGCUCUGGGGAGGGGGUGGGCAGUGGGGGAAGUGAGGCUUCCUAUCCGCCCCCUCUCACUUCACAUUUAAAUAUUCUGCACGUUCCAGCCCCCGCGGACUCGCGUACCGCCCAAUCCGCCUUCACCGCACGAAAAACAUCACUAGCCUGCUCUCAGCCCAGGGGACGACUAGUCCCUGGCGAGAAGCUGCCUGCAAGGUCACUGUCAUGCCACCUGCCCCAAGUGCUCAGGGGAAACUGAGGCUUCCUCAUCCCCUUCACCUUCAACGUCGCUCUAAACACGGCAAAGCCCCGUUUCCAUGCUCCCAGAGUUCAGCUGAGGCUGGAAGUGGGGUCCUGGGCUUCUCUGGGAGCAAUUUUCUAGUCACUCUGAUCAAGGACGUUACUUUCCCAGAAAGCUCUGAGGCUGAGUCCCUCUGAAAUCAAGUCCUUUCUCCUGUCGCACAAUGUAGCUACUCGCCCCGCUUCAGGACUCCUAUUCUUUGCCCCAAUCCUUGACAGAGGGGUGAGCUUGGUUCAUCCGCCCACCCCAGAGAAAAGCUUCCCUAGUUUCCUGGACCUCGCUCCUCCACCCCAAGCUGAGCAUUCCAGGUCUUACUCUUGCCUUUCCGAGGGGACAACUUCCCUCGGGCUCC